CCUACGGGCGGCUGCAGUGGGGAAUAUUGGACAAUGGGGGGAACCCUGAUCCAGCCAUGCCGCGUGUGUGAAGAAGGCCCUCGGGUUGUAAAGCACUUUCAGUGAGGAAGAACGCCUGGUGGUUAAUACCCAUCAGGAAGGACAUCACUCACAGAAGAAGCACCGGCUAACUCCGUGCCAGCAGCCGCGGUAAUACGGAGGGGGCGAGCGUUAAUCGGAAUUACUGGGCGUAAAGCGCGCGUAGGUGGCUUGAUAAGCCGGUUGUGAAAGCCCCGGGCUCAACCUGGGAACGGCAUCCGGAACUGUCAAGCUAGAGUGCAGGAGAGGAAGGUAGAAUUCCCGGUGUAGCGGUGAAAUGCGUAGAGAUCGGGAGGAAUACCAGUGGCGAAGGCGGCCUUCUGGACUGACACUGACACUGAGGUGCGAAAGCGUGGGUAGCAAACAGGAUUAGAUACCCCUGUAGUC
rnacentral:rRNA from 1 species